CUCAAAGUCAAAAUCAAUUUUAUAUAUAUAUAUUCACAUGUAGAAAAUUAAGAUUUCACUUUUACAUUUUUUUACAUUUUUCCCCACAAGGAGCAAGGAAAAGAAAAGAUAAAAGGUAAAUCAAAGCUGGGAUUUUCCCGGAUUCUUGAUUUAUUAUAUUCUCUGUAGCAACUAGCAAACUAACUAAAGUAAGCCCUUUUUUUUUUGUCUUUUCUUUUUUGAAAUUACAGGAUCCCAUAUGUCCAAGAAUCUUGAUCCAAAACCAUUUCUGGGUACUGAUUGAUAGGAGGAUGAGGAUAAUGAUCAUCAAGAGCAUCUACUUGCUUUCUGUCAGAAUCAACAUCGUUAAUUAACAAAUCCAAACAACUACUUAAGUCAUCAACCCACCAGUCAAUGUCAUUAUCAGGCCACUCAAAAUCUGCGAAUUGAAAGCCUUCAAGGAAUAAGUUAUUGUAUGGGCCAUGGGAAGAUGAUGAAGAUGAAGAUGUUGUUAUUGUUGAUGAAGAGGAAGAAGGUGCGGCAGUACAAGGGACCAGCAUUUCAUGGGGUUCAAUUAAGGGAACAUCAUCAAUGCAAAAGCCAUAAUUCAUCGGCUCCAUUGUCUCAAAUGUGCUUGUCAUUCUUUUUUCUUCCUCUACUUUUGUCUCUUCAGUAGUGCUUGGUUGCACAGAUGUUUCGGUUUCCUUGUUUUGUUCCAAUUCAGCCAUGGCAUUUGUGGAGUAAGAUUGUGCUUGUUGCUGUUCUUGCACUUCUUGUUGUUCUUGAGGUGGUGGUGGUGGGGGUGGUUCACUGGUAGGGAAUGGCUUGUGGGUAAGAGGAUCAAUGCCCAUUUUUCUAAGCUUUUUCUUGAUGUGCGUAUUCCAGUGAUUCUUGAUUUCAUUAUCAGUUCUUCCAGGUAAAUGAGACGCAAUCUUGGACCAU
rnacentral:misc_RNA from 1 species